UUUCCGUAGGUGAACCUGCGGAAGGAUCACUAAAGAACGCCCCGUUUUUUGAAAUGGGUAAUUCUAAACCGUGUAUACAUACCUUUGUUGCUUUGGCAGGCCGCCCCUCAGGGCGUCGGCUCCGGCUGACUGCGCCUGCCAGAGGACCCAAACUCUUUUGUUUAGUGAUGUCUGAGUACUAUAUAAUAGUUAAAACUUUCAACAACGGAUCUCUUGGUUCUG
rnacentral:misc_RNA from 1 species